CGGUUGAUCCUGCCGGAGGUUACUGCUAUCGAGGUUCGACUAAGCCAUGCGAGUCGAAUGUAGCAAUACAUGGCGUACUGCUCAGUAACACGUGGACAACCUACCCUUGGGUCGGGGAUAAACCCGGGAAACUGGGUAUAAUACCCGAUAGAUCUGCGAAGCUGGAAUGCUCGCAGGUUCAAAGCUCCGGCACCCAAGGAUGGGUCUGCGGCCUAUCAGGUAGUAGUGGGUGUAGUGUACCCUCUAGCCUACGACGGGUACGGGUUGUGAGAGCAAGAGCCCGGAGAUGGAUUCUGAGACACGAAUCCAGGCCCUACGGGGUGCAGCAGGCGCGAAAACUUUACAAUGCUGGCAACAGCGAUAAGGGAACCUCGAGUGCCAGGUUACAAAUCUGGCUGUCGUGAUGCCUAAAAAGCAUUGCAUAGCAAGGGCCGGGCAAGACCGGUGCCAGCCGCCGCGGUAACACCGGCGGCUCGAGUGGUAACCGUUAUUAUUGGGUCUAAAGGGUCUGUAGCCGGCUGGAUAAGUCUCUUGGGAAAUCUGGCUGCUCAACAGUCAGGCUUUCAGGAGAUACUGUCUGGCUCGAGGCCGGGAGAGGUGAGAGGUACUUCAGGGGUAGGGGUGAAAUCUUGUAAUCCUUGAAGGACCACCAGUGGCGAAGGCGUCUCACCAGAACGGACCUGACGGCAAGGGACGAAAGCUAGGGGCACGAACCGGAUUAGAUACCCGGGUAGUCCUAGCCGUAAACGAUACUCGCUAGGUGUCGGCCAUGGUGCGACCGUGGUCGGUGCCGUAGGGAAGCCGUGAAGCGAGCCACCUGGGAAGUACGGCCGCAAGGCUGAAACUUAAAGGAAUUGGCGG
rnacentral:rRNA from 1 species